GCAGCUCCCAAGUCUAAUACCAAGAAAGAAAAUGUUCAGGUGAAAUAACUACUAUACUAAAUGGCAACAAACAUCUUUUUUCUCAUAAUUUUGAGGUCUGCUGGGAAUUACUGUGGUGUUGACACGUUUGCACUAGAUAGUUUUAUUUGUAGUACUAGUUUUUCUGUGUGCACUUUUGGUGCUAUCUAAGCUUUUAGAGAGGCUAGGAAACAUCUAUUCAGUUCUUUUCCCUUCAUUCUGCGCAUGGCCGUAGCAUUCUUACACAUGGUCAAAAUGGUGGCCAGCCGCUUAACUGCACCUCGAUUCUCCACCUCUCCCAUCUCUUCUCUCUGUCCGGGCCUGCUCCCCACGCCGGCCACAUCCGGAGCCGCCGCCGUCCGGCCCAGUCAUCGGGGAAGCUGCUGCCGAUCUAGCUGGCACACGACAUCGGGAGGGAGUUGGGUGGUGGCGCCAUCGUCGGCAUGGAGGCGGGGCAGCGAGCGGGGAGCGAAGAGGACGUGACAACCGUGUCGACCACGGGUCUGGAGGUCAGCAGCGGCUAUGGGGCGCGUCGGUCCGUAGGUCGCGUGGCCUCUCCAUCCGUCGCCCCUGUCCCCUAUCUCUGCAUGCAUCGCCUCCUCCACCCAGCCGUCCCCGUCGAUGAAUACGUGUGGGAAACAGCGCGCCGCCAUGUGGGUCGCUGAGAUCGACGCUGCCGACGGUCGCCAGAUGCCAUCAAUAAACAAUACACAGGAGCUCUCCCGACGCUCCCUCUCCCUGCGCUCCUCUAGCUGUCGUUCCCCUGCCACCGCAGCCUCCUCGCCGGCGACUCCUAGCCGCCGGGUCACCCCAAUCCCAGCCUCCUCGCCUCCCCCCCCCCCCGCUCGCCACUCCUUCCGGCCAUAUCCUCCUCGUGCGGCACCCCGGACGGCCAUCGCUCGGGCCGCGAUCUGCGCUGGAGGAGCUCCAACCGCUCCUACCGGGAUGUUGUCCGCGGCGCGGCGGCCUGUCCCCACCGCUCCCCUCGCUGGAGCCCGUCUCCCCUCUCGUGGAUGCUCCCUCUCGGCUCGGCCCGCUCCCCUGCACGCUGCCGCUCCCCUAGGGCGUCACCCCCCUCCCUGUGAACAACGGCCUCUACUUCCGCUGCCAAGAGGAGGGCCACCAUGUGAGGGAUUGACCCAACGAAGCCCAAUGCCGUGCCAAGUUGCUGCAGCAGCAGAGGUGAUUUUGUGUAUGAGUUUCAUUGUUUCUAUGUGUGAAUUUUGUAGCCUCGUGUUUUUUGGUCUGGCUUAGUAAGCACUGAACCAUACAGUUUAGUCUCAUUUCCACAAUAUUGCUUGAAUAUAGGAUGGCUACAUGAUCAAAUAUAUCUCUGACAAUCAACUUUUGUUUCUCCAGCUUUCCUUAUGAUGAUUAGGCUUGAUUUUUGAAAUCUCUGUAGAGUUGAAGCAUUAAAAAUAGAUGGGUGGUAUUGCUCUGAGAGGAUAUUUUCAAGGUGAUACUGUUUGUUUUUCAUUGAUAAUUGACUGCUCAGUUCAGGCCAGUUUCAAUAUGAGUUCUUAUAUAUAGUUUCUGUGGUCUAUGAAAAGAAAUGACUUGGGGAUGCCUAUACACACCUCUGUACGCAGGUUAUUUAGACAUGGGAGUGAUUUGUUAUAUGUUAGUUAAUAUCCUAGCGUUCAAAUGUUUGGUAGUAUCUAUUUCACUUGCACCAGUGUCAAACAUUUUCACCUCUUAUGAGCUACCAUGUUUGAUGUUCGAUCAAUCUUGCAAUAUUCAUCUUACUGCCACCAAGCUUUAUUUUAUAUAUUAUAUGUGUUUUACUCUAUAGCUUGCUAGCUUCUUUUGAUUUUCUUUGUAUUAUGUCUUUUCCAGUCGCAGGCCGUUUGCAUGUGUCACGUCUCUCCAACAUAUGAACUGAACAACUGCAAAUAAAAAUAGUGGCAUCUCAUGCUAAAUUGUGUGUAACCUUCCAAGUGGGGUAUAAAAUCUGAAUAUUGGGGGAUAUAAGCAAAAGAUUUAUGCAAAUCUAAGCAAGCAGCAGAUAUUAAUACAACUUCCAUAAGUAAUGUAGUACCGACAGGUUUACUGUUCUUUGGAUUGAUGGUCAUCCCAAACUAAAGAAAGGAUUAGAAGUACUUUAAUUACUACCCUCAAGGGCGGCUGCCGCAAGGUCAACGAGAACAAGCUCCUCUCCAAGAAGAAUAGGUCUGUUCCAUCCUUCACUCCGCCGGAUGCCGGCGCAUCUUUUUCCUCAGUCGGGUAGAGAAGGGCUUCGGAUUUGGAAGAGGGUGCAGACAGUCAAGGGAGCUGCUGCUGUUACAGUAGCACAACAGCACCACAAGAGACAACAGGAGAAUGAGAAGGAAGUGCGUCCCAAGAUUUUAGGGCCCAUUGGUGAGGUGGUUCUUCAGUGGGGGUGAGUCGGUGGCUGUUCACCACAGGUGGAAAUUGUUUGUCCUUGGGUUGAUCCUUUAGGCCCAUAUGAUGUUAAGGUGGAUUAAGGAGGUGAUGAAGUCAUUGCGGAGCUUCGUACUGUCUAUGGCAUCUUCUAUACAGUUUCUUAUGUUACAUGGUUUGGCAAUAUGUCAUAAGUUCUGUAGUCCUUUUAUUCUGAUUUUCUUAUCUUACUGAUUUAGGUUAACACCUAUCAUGAUAUUUGUCAUUUAGCAGGACAUAUGUUCUUCAUAAACAAUAUGCAUGACUUCUAAGUUUCAUAAGAUUUCUCUGUUCAAUCACAUGUCUCCUACUUUCUGAUUGCUCUCAUGGCGGUAUUCGGGUAAGCUGAGUACCAAAAAUGCAUAUAUAGUAGACAUUUUAUUUAGUAUUUCACACUUGAUUCAUUGGAAUGACUAUAGGCAAAGUAGAUUGGUAUAUAGUUAAAUUUGUUGCUACCUGAGUUCUAUUCUCCUUUGGUAAUCCCAUGUUGCUGAUCUUUGCCUUCAGCCUGGAGUUUUAUUGUGCCGACGUCGGUGUAAUCCCUGCUCCGGCUCUCCACCUCUGCCACAUACAUGUGCAGCCUGCAGGUUGCAGCACCGAGACAUGGAGCGCUUGCUACAUGGUGUCACAUACUGACGUCUAAUAUUUUCUAUGCAUGGUUUGCAGAUAGAGACUGACAUAGAUGAUGACCAGAUCUUAAACUGAGAGAGUAACGGGUAGAUAGGAAGGGUGCCAACAAGUUCAAGAAAUGAUGGCAAGAAGAGAGGAAGCUGACAAGCAUACACUACAACACCAAAGAAAAGCAAUGAAGUAAAAUAAAGCAUAGUCCCCACAUUUCAUUGGGCCGACAGCCGAGACUCGAGCCCCUGAUUAUCUAAAGCAGCUCAGGAAGACCGGUUAUGCACAGUACCCACUGCCACCACUGUGUAUAUUUGCCAGUUAUGUGCUUUUGUACCACAGAGGAUGACGGAGGUCUUCUUAGCUUUGUCGAGGGGACCAAACAAGAAUUCGAUAAGAGGACACUGAUUCCCCCUUGGACAAUGAAGCACACUCGGCUCUUUCUUCACCAAAGGCCAACAACUCACUAUCUUUUCCCGCAACAACGAGGACACCAAUGCGAAGCACUGAUGAAUGGGAUACCAGGGAACAUUAGCACUACCAGUCUUAACAUCCUACUUUGCUACUUCCUCCAAGCUUUGGUAACCAAGAACAUGUCAAUACUUAUGUUCAAGUAGAAACUCAUGUAUUUUCCAUGUAUCCUAUAUGUAAAAUGAUCCCACGAUCUAUGUUGUCAGAGGUAACCACUUCAAAAAUGUUGUCAGAUAAUUAUGUAUUAGUGCACUUACUACUUAUGCAAGGCAAUGAUAUGAGCUCUGUAACCAAGUCUAAUUAUAUAUUACUGCUACUACCUCUUCCUUGGUUAAUAUCACUAACACAAAACCUUUACAAAUUACAACCAUCCAUAUCAGCCACGGGCGCCAUCUUUUUGUAUGCCUUUCCGCUAUUAGUGUAUCGUGUGUCCAAGUUAAUUACCAGUUAUUUUAUGCCUUCUUAACAUGGGUAGAAUUCUCUAUACGCAACUUAUUUACUUGAUCUUAAGGAUUAAAUUUUCAUGUACCUAGAUUCAGUGUAUGUUGUAUCCAACUUCAUUGCCAACCAUCUUAAAACCUACUAUUUAAACAAGAAACUAUUAAUUACUUCCAUCAAUUUAAGCAUGGUCUUAAAAAUAUUACAAUCAUUGCAUUAUACAAUCAGUGCGGCGUGCCGCCGCGCCCAACAAUUGCUAGUCUAGCAUAUGGGCCGACUCUUUGAGCCGUGGAUUGAUUGAUUUGAACAUAACCGGACAAAAGAAGGUGAACUUAGCAGAUGUUGGGAUCGUGGGCAGCCUCGGUGAUGGGUUCGACGACAAGGCUCAGCCCUCGUGGAACAUGGGCGCGGGGGGAUCCGGUCUAGGAAUGUCUGGAAAUCCUUCGACUACGCAGCGCGGUGG